rnacentral:rRNA from 1 species
GCGACCCCAGUGACAGAAAAAGGUCACCAAUUG